rnacentral:rRNA from 1 species
UCGCCAUAAGAUGAGCCCGCGUAGGAUUAGCUAGUUGGUGAGGUAAUGGCUCACCAAGGCGACGAUCCUUAGCUGGUCUGAGAGGAUGACCAGCCACACUGGGACUGAGACACGGCCCAG